rnacentral:ncRNA from 1 species
UUGACGCGGGAGAGACCGCUCAUUGCUGGCGGCGCCGACGGGGCACGCAAAAACUCUCAGGCAAAUGGACCGUGUCA